GGGGGUGUAGCUCACUUGGUAGAGCGCGUCAUUUGCAUUGACGAGGUACUGAGUUCGAUCCUCAGCUCCUCCA
rnacentral:tRNA from 11 species